UACAGAGGAGCCAAGCGUUGUCCGGAUUGACUGGGCGUAAAGCGCACGCAGGCGGUCGCGCGCGUGGGGUGUGAAAUCUGGCCGCUUAACGGCCAGGCGCCAUCCCAUACGGCGCGACUGGAGGGAUGCAGAGGUCGAUGGAAUUGCCGGUGUAGUGGUGAAAUGCGUAGAGAUCGGGAAGAACAUCGGUGGCGAAGGCGCUCUACUGGACCACAACUGACACUCAGGGACGAAAGCUAGGGGAGCGAAAGGG
rnacentral:rRNA from 1 species